UGGGGAAUCUUGGACAAUGGGGGCAACCCUGAUCCAGCGACGCCGCGUGGGUGAUGAAGGCCUUCGGGUUGUAAAGCCCUUUCACCGGGGACGAUGAUGACGGUACCCGGAGAAGAAGCACCGGCUAACUCCGUGCCAGCAGCCGCGGUAAGACGGAGGGUGCUAGCGUUGUUCGGAAUCACUGGGCGUAAAGGGCGCGUAGGCGGCUUUGGCAGUCGGAUGUGAAAGCCCGGGGCUCAACCCCGGAACGGCAUCCGAUACUCCAAGGCUCGAGGCCGGAAGAGGAGGGUGGAAUACCCAGUGUAGAGGUGAAAUUCGUAGAUAUUGGGUGGAACACCGGUGGCGAAAGCGGCUCUCUGGUCCGGUCCUGACGCUGAGGCGCGAAAGCGUGGGGAGCAAACAGGAUUAGAUACCCGUGUAGUCC
rnacentral:rRNA from 1 species